rnacentral:rRNA from 1 species
ACGACCCCAGGUCAGGAGGGAUUACUCGCUGAGUUUAAGCAUAUCAAUAAGCGGAGGAAAAAAAACUUACAAAGAUUCCCUUUGUAACAGCGAGUGAACCGGGAAUAUCCAAACCUUAUAAUCUAGCGGCUUCAUCAUCAAAAUUAUAUUUGGAGAAGCGUCCUGAGCGGUGGACCAGGCCCAAGUUCCCUAGAAGGGGGCGCCAGAGAGGGUGAGAGCCUCGUUGCACCCAAACCCUGUCGCACCAUGAGGUGUUGUCUACGAGUCAGGUUGUUUAGGAAUGUUGCCCAAAUCAGGUGGUGAAUUUUGUCUAAGGAUAAAUACGGGCGAGAGACCAAUAGCGAACAAGUACUGCAAGGGAAAGAUGAAAAGGACUUUGAAAAGGGAGUCAAAGAGUGCUUGAAAUUGUCGGGAAGUAAGCAGAUGGGGGCCGACGGUGUGCCCCGGUUGGAUAUGGAACGAAGACAAGCUGGUCCGCCGAUUAACUCAGGGCAUAGACCAGCGUGGAUUGGGGGCGGCCAAAGCCCGGGCUCUUAAUACGCUCGUCAAAUACCCUCUCCUCAAUUAUGGCAGGCAGCACGCCCCUCCAGUGUGCUUCGACAUCUGCGCGCUUCGGACGCUGGCCCGUGGGCUCCCUAUUCGACCCAUCUUUAGACACGGAAGAAGGAGUCUGACAUAUGUGCGAGUCAAUGGGUGAGUAAACCCAUAAGGUGAAAGGAGGCGGAUUGGUAUAAUCCCCCUAUUGGGUGCACCAGCGACCGACCUUGAUAUUCUGUGAAGGGUUUGAGUCUGAGCAAACCUUUCGAGACCCAAAAGAUAGUGAACUAUGCAUGAGCGGGGAAAAUCCAGAGGAAACUCUGGUGGAUGCCCGCAGCGAUACUGACAUACAAAUCAUUCAUCUAAUUUGGGUAUAGGGAUGAAAGACUAAUUAAACCAUCUAGUAGCUGGUUCCCAACAAUGUUUUCAUCAAGAUUGAUGGACCUCGCGUGCGAGUUCUAUCGGUACAAGCCAAUGAUUAGAAGCCUCAAGGGUGCAAUGCUCUCGACCUAUUCUCAAACUUUAAAUAGGUAGGACGGAGCAACAGCUUUAUUGAGCCGAGCCAUGAAAUCAAGAACUCCAACUGGGCUAUUUUUGGUAGGCAGAACUUGCGAUGCGGGAUAAGCCAGAAGCCAAGUUAUGUUGCCAAUAUGCACGCUAACCUAGAUCCCAGAAAGGGUGUUGGUCAAUUAAGACAGAAGGACGGUGAUCAUGGAAGUCAAAAUUCGCUAAGAAUUGUGUAACAACUAACCUGACGAAUCAAAAGCCCUGAAAAUAGUUGGUGCUUAAGUGCGCAACCUAUAACCGGCCGUCAGGCCAAGUGCCAGGACCAGAUGAGUAGAAAGGUGCGACGGUCACUGCAAAACCUUGGGCGCGGGUACGGGCGGAGCGACAGUUAGCUCAGAUCUUGGUGGUAGUAGCAAAUAUUCAAAUGAGAACUUUCAAGGACAAAGAAGGGAAAGGUUCCAUGUGAACGACACUUGCACAAGGUUUAGUCGAUCCUAAUGGUGGGGCAAACCCCUAAAAAUAGUGUAUUUCGCGCGUACUCCAAAAAUAAAUUAGGUUAAAAUUCUUGAACCGGGAUGUGGCGGUCAAUAGUAAUGUUAGAAAGUUCAGAGACAUCGGCGGGAGACUCCGGAAGAAUUAUCUUUUCUAUUUAACAGCCUACCCACCCUGGAAUCAGCUCAGUCAGAGGUAGGGUCCAGCGGCUGGAAGAGGAUCGUACAUCGCGUGGUAUCCGGUGCGGUCCCAAUGUCCCUUGACAAUUCGAAGGAUCGAAUGUUGUCCACGUCCGGUCAUACUCAUAACCAAAUUAGGUCUCCAAGGUGAACAACCUCUUAUCGAUAGAAUAAUGUAGGCAAAGGAAGUCGGAAAAAUGGAUCCCUAACUUUGGGAAAAAGAUUGGCUCUGAGGGCCGGGAACGGGGUCCUAGUCGCGAACCCAUUGGCUAUCGGUUUACUGCUCGAGCUGCUUCCACGGCAAGAGCAGGUCACUGCAUGCCGACCGAGGGAAAGACUUGGAAUGGUUCCUUUGGGGGCCUUCCCUGCGUGUCAAACAGCCAACUCAGAACUGGUACGGAUAAGGAGAAUCCAACUAUUUAGUUAAAACAAAGAUUGUGAUGGUCCCAACGAAUGUUCAUGCAAUAUGAUUUCUGCCUAGUACUCUGAAUGUAAAAAUGAAUAAAUUCAACCAAGUGCAGGUAAAUGGCAGGAGUAACUAUGACUCUCUUAAGGUUUCCAAAUGCCUCGUCAUCUAAUUAGUGACGCGCAUGAAUGGAUUAAUGAGAUUCCCACUGUUCCUAUCUACUAUCUAGUGAAACCACAGCCAGGGGAACAGGCUUGGCAGAAUCAUAGAGAAAAAAAACCCUGUUGAACUUGAAUCUAGUCCGACAUUGUGAAAUGACUUGAGAGGUGUAGUAUAAGUGCGAUCCAAAAUGUGAAAGUGAAAUACCACAACUUUUAACGAUAUUAUACUUAUUUCGUGAAUCGCAAGCGGGGAACUGCCCCUCUUUUUGGAACCAAGGCUCGCUCUGCGGGACGAUCCGGGAGGAAGACAUUGUCAGGUACGUAGUUUGGAUGGGGCGCCACAUCUGUUAAAAGUAAUGUAGGUGUCCAAAGAUGAGAUCAACGAGAACAGAAAUCUUGUGUGGAACAGAAGGGUAAAAGCUCAUUUGAUUCUGAUUUCCAGUACGAAUACGAACCAUGAAAGUGUGGCCCAACGAUCUUUUAGACCUUCAGAAUUCAAAGCUAGAAGUUUUAGAAAAGUUACCACAGGGAUAACUGGAAUGUGGUAGCCAAGCUUUGAUAGCGAUGUUGCUUUUUUAUCCUUCGAUGUCGGCUCAUCCUUUUAUUGUGAAGCAGAGUUCACCAAAUGUUUUAUUGUUCACCCACCAAUAGGGAACGUGAGUUGGGUUUGGACCAUUGUGAUAAAGGUUAGUUUUACCUUACUGAUGACAGUGUCGCAAAAGUAAUUCAACCUAGUACGAUAGGAACCAUUGAUUCAUACAAUUGGUCAUCGGGCUUGGUUGAAAAGCCAGUGGCGCAAAGCUACCAUAUGCUGGAUUAUUACUGAACACCUCUAAGUCAGAAUCCGGGUUAGAAGUAACGUAUCCGCUCGCCGUCUGCUUGCCAACCCGCAGUAGGGGCCUCGGCCCCGGGGGCACAUGUUGUUGGCUAAGACACCGCAUUGAAACGGUCACGAUGGCCACCUUGAAGUACAAUUUCAAUCGAGCAGUGGGUAAAAUCCUUUGCAGACAACUUAAAUACUCGAUAACGAAUUGUAAGUGGCAGAGUGUACUUGCUGCCAUGAUCCACUGAGAUUCAGUCCUUUGUCGCUCUGAUUCGU